rnacentral:lncRNA from 13 species
CCUGGUGAGACCUAUGAAAUAAUGAAUGUGUUUGCUUUUUCACCACUAAGUUUGUGCUAAUUUGUUAUGGCAGUGAUAGAAAACUAACACAAGGCUUGGCUGUAUCUUGGCAUGUCAGCUUUUAAGUUAUCUGUUGUAGUUUAGAAAAGCUCUGAGAAGAAGCUACAAUUUGUUGUUUUUUUUUUAAUUACCCUCUAGGGAAUUAAACAUUAAUGGGUCGGGUGCGGUGGCUGACGCCUAGCACUUUGGGAGACUGAGGCACUACUGCAUUCCAGCCUGGGCAACAAAGUGAGACUCUGUUUCAAAAGAAGAAAAAAAGAAGUAAACAUGAACAGAUCAUUAAGUGAGAGGCUGUGUGAGACCUGGCUUGAGUUUGUGCCUACAGACAUUUAAAAGAACAUUCACCGUGGGCGCUCUGUGCUGCCAAGCAAAUGUCUGACUGCACUGAGGCUGCCAUGCGGUAAGAAACCCCAAGCUACCUACCUGGAGAGGCUGGAGAGAAUCAGCACCCAUCAGCGUUUCCAGCGUUUUGGGUCUUCCCAGCUAAAUCACAGACAUUGUGAAGCAGAGAUGAUAACUUGACACACCCACGAAUGCCCACUUUUAGGAUAUAAAUCUAUGUGAACUAAGGAAAAUUCAGGAAUGACUGAACCUACCUGUGUGGCCAGAAGAGACUGGAUGAUGACUCAUUUAUCCAUUCAGAACAUAUUUCAGAAGACCCUCUGCUUCACCAGGAGCUGUUGCAGGCACUGAGACACUGUGGUGAACACAUCAAAUAAAGUCUGUUCUCAUGGAUCUCA